rnacentral:rRNA from 1 species
UACGUAGGGGGCGAGCGUUGUCCGGAUUUAUUGGGCGUAAAGAGCUCGUAGGCGGCUUGGCAAGUCGGGUGUGAAACCUCCAGGCUCAACCUGGAGACGCCACUCGAUACUGCUAUGGCUAGAGUCCGGUAGGGGACCACGGAAUUCCUGGUGUAGCGGUGAAAUGCGUAGAGAUCUGGAGGAACACCGAUGGCGAAGGCAGCCCCCUGGGCUAACACUGACGCUCAUGCACGAAAGCGUGGGGAGCAAACAGG